CAAUAGCGUAUAUUAAAGUUGUUGCGGUUAAAAAGCUCGUAGUUGGAUUUCUGCUGAGAACGACCGGUCCGCCCUCUGGGUGUGUAUCUGGCUCUUUCUUGGCAUCUUCUUGGUGAACGUUGCUGCACUUGACUGUGUGGAGCGCUACCCAGGACUUUUACUUUGAGGAAAUUAGAGUGUUUCAAGCAGGCAUACGCCUUGAAUACAUUAGCAUGGAAUAAUAAGAUAGGACCUCGGUUCUAUUUUGUUGGUUUCUAGAGCUGAGGUAAUGAUUAAUAGGGAUAGUUGGGGGCAUUCGUAUUCAACUGUCAGAGGUGAAAUUCUUGGAUUUGUUAAAGACGGACUACUGCGAANGNAUUUGCNAAGGAUGUUUNCAUUG
rnacentral:rRNA from 1 species